UAGGGAAUCUUCCGCAAUGGACGAAAGUCUGACGGAGCAACGCCGCGUGAGUGAAGAAGGAUUUCGGUUCGUAAAACUCUGUUGUUAGGGAAGAAAAAAUGUAUAGUAACUAUAUACAAAAGAGACGGUACCUAACCAGAAAGCCACGGCUAACUACGUGCCAGCAGCCGCGGUAAUACGUAGGUGGCAAGCGUUGUCCGGAAUUAUUGGGCGUAAAGCGCGCGCAGGUGGUUUAGAAAGUCUGAUGUGAAAGCCCACGGCUCAACCGUGGAGGGUCAUUGGAAACUAAUAAACUUGAGUGCAGGAGAGAAAAGUGGAAUUCCUAGUGUAGCGGUGAAAUGCGUAGAGAUUAGGAGGAACACCGGUGGCGAAAGCGGCUUUUUGGCAUGCAACUGACACUGAGGCGCGAAAGCGUGGGGAGCAAACAGG
rnacentral:rRNA from 1 species